UUCUAGUUAGCUAACAGGAGGAUAAAACAGGCCAAGCCUUCACCUAUUCACGGCACAUAGAACAAGAAAGAAAAAACAGUGGCCGUACAGUUUCCAUUGUUCCCCCCAAAUGUCUGUAUGUCAUUUAUUACCUUGGUUUUGUUUGGCAGGGAUGUUGUUGUUGCCUUUCACAUGCUUUCGAUCUAGACUAAUCUCGGCACUCAGAUGUCCCUUUGGCCUCACAGAGUAGGAUGCCUGGAAUCAGAACAAGCCGUGGAGUGCAAAGAAAUUCCUCAGUCAUGACUACAUUAUUUUGUUCUUCGUAUCAAAAGCAAGCUAGGUGAGAGAAUUCAUUCAUCUUUUACCACACUGCAAGGGACAGAGGCAAUUUUUCUCCCAGGAUUCAGGACUAAAGUAGAUGAUCUUCUGGACUUCUCUGUGACAUUUCACUGAAAUUGCAUUUCACCGAAAACAAACAAGCAAACAAAAAUCUUCCUUUUGAGAAGAUAAUCCCCAGAAGUUAAAAGAAAGAGUAGUAGUCCAGUUGGAAGUUGCAAAAAAAUUGUCCAGUAAGUGCUGAUGUUUACGGAUGUCACCGUCACCCAGGGUUGCUGUUUCCCCUGGACAGCCGGGUUCAACUUCUUUCUGAAGAUCCCCCUUUUAGUGGCUUUUCACUGAUGUCUGUGAGGGGUAAACUCUCUCAGUCAAGAAUGGAUCCAUUUUCAAGACUAUUUAUUCAUUCAUUCAUUCAUUCAUUCAUUCAGAGAUAGGGUCUCACUCUGUC
rnacentral:lncRNA from 1 species